rnacentral:miRNA from 1 species
AUUGGCACUGGCGGAAUAGUCAC